CGCAUUCACGCACAAAGAGCUUUGGUCUCGGCAACUCCUCUGGAAGCUCCAAAGUUCCAAUAACUUUAUCAGACGAAAAAGCUUUUGAAGAAGUUUUUUGUGAUUUUAGGAUGGACAGAUCUAUGGAGAAGUUUCAGGUAGAUCAGGUAUGGGCUCUUUAUGGUCAAAAUAGUACACUGCCAAAGACUUUUGCUCAGAUUAAGAAGAUUGUUCCUUCCCCAUUCAAAUUGCAUGUAGUCCUUCUUGAAUCUAGUGCAGGGCGUAAAAUUGCUCCUCAGACUGUUUGCGGAACAUUCAAAGUGCAGAACGAAAAAUGCCAAGUCUUUGAUCCCAGUAGCUUCUCGCACGUGGUGAAAACAGUCCGCAGGGCGUAAAACUGCUCCUCAGACUGUUUGUGGAACAUUCAAAGUGCAGAACGAAAAAUGCCAAGUCUUUGAUCCCAGUAGCUUCUCGCACGUGGUGAAAACAGUCUCUAAUAAU
rnacentral:lncRNA from 1 species